CAGUCGCCGCGGUAGUACGUAGGUGGCAAGCGUUGUCCGGAAUUAUUGGGCGUAAAGCGCGCGCAGGCGGAUCAGUUAGUCUGUCUUAAAAGUUCGGGGCUUAACCCCGUGAGGGGCUGGAAACUGCUGAUCUAGAGUAUCGGAGAGGAAAGUGGAAUUCCUAGUGUAGCGGUGAAAUGCGUAGAUAUUAGGAAGAACACCAGUGGCGAAGGCGACUUUCUGGACGAAAACUGACGCUGAGGCGCGAAAGCCAGGGGAGCGAACGGGAUUAGAUACCCGCGUAGUCCCUGUCUCUUAUACA
rnacentral:rRNA from 1 species